rnacentral:rRNA from 1 species
CCUACGGGAGGCAGCAGUGGGGAAUUUUGGACAAUGGGGGGCAACCCUGAUCCAGCAAUGCCGCGUGAGUGAAGAAGGCCCUCGGGUUGUAAAGCUCUUUUGUCAGGGAAGAAACGGUCUACUCUAAUACAGUGGGCUAAUGACGGUACCUGAAGAAUAAGCACCGGCUAACUACGUGCCAGCAGCCGCGGUAAUACGUAGGGUGCAAGCGUUAAUCGGAAUUACUGGGCGUAAAGCGUGCGCAGGCGGUUUUAUAAGACAGAGGUGAAAUCCCCGGGCUCAACCUGGGAACUGCCUUUGUGACUGUAAGGCUAGAGUGUGUCAGAGGGGGGUAGAAUUCCACGUGUAGCAGUGAAAUGCGUAGAUAUGUGGAGGAAUACCGAUGGCGAAGGCAGCCCCCUGGGAUAACACUGACGCUCAUGCACGAAAGCGUGGGGAGCAAACAGGAUUAGAUACCCUGGUAGUCCACGCCCUAAACGAUGUCUACUAGUUGUCGGGACUUAAUUGUCUUGGUAACGCAGCUAACGCGUGAAGUAGACCGCCUGGGGAGUACGGUCGCAAGAUUAAAACUCAAAUGAAAUUGACGG